CUGCUGCCUCCCGUAGGAGUUUGGCCGUGUCUCAGUUCCAAUGUGGGGGACCUUCCUCUCAGAACCCCUACGCAUCGUCGGCUUGGUGGGCCGUUGCCCCACCAACUACCUAAUGCGCCGCAUGCCCAUCCGUGACCGGGGUCGCCCCCUUUGGCCGGCAGGGGAUGUCCCCUCCCGGCAUUAUGUUGUAUUAGGCGGGAUUUCUCCCGGUUAUCCAUCUGUCACGGCCAGGUUGCAUACGUGUUACUCACCCGUGCGCCGGUCGCCGGCGG
rnacentral:rRNA from 1 species